UACGUAGGGGGCAAGCGUUGUCCGGAUUUAUUGGGCGUAAAGAGCGUGUAGGCGGCCAGGUAGGUCUGCUGUGAAACUCGAGGCUUAACCUCGAGCUGUCGGCGGAAACCAUCUGGCUAGAGUCCGGAAGAGGAGAAUGGAAUUCCCGGUGUAGCGGUGAAAUGCGUAGAGAUCGGGAGGAACACCAGUGGCGAAAGGCGGCCUCUGGACCAAUACUGACGCUCAUGCGCGAAAGCGUGGGAGCAAACAGG
rnacentral:rRNA from 1 species